GAUGAAGAACGCAGCGAAAUGCGAUAAGUAGUGUGAAUUGCAGAAUUCAGUGAAUCAUCGAAUCUUUGAACGCACAUUGCGCCCUUUGGUAUUCCAAAGGGCAUGCCUGUUCGAGCGUCAUUUGUACCCUCAAGCUUUGCUUGGUGUUGGGCGUCUUGUCUCUAGCUUUGCUGGAGACUCGCCUUAAAGUAAUUGGCAGCCGGCCUACUGGUUUCGGAGCGCAGCACAAGUCGCACUCUCUAUCAGCAAAGGUUUAGCAUCCAUUAAGCCUUUUUUUCAACUUUUGACCUCGGAUCAGGUAGGGAUACCCGCUGAACUUAAGCAUAUCAAUAAGCGGAGGA
rnacentral:misc_RNA from 1 species